GGUCGAACCUGCCCGGUGGGAGUGUCUUAACGGCUGCAGCUACCACUGCACUAAGGUAGCAUAAUAGUUCGUCCUUUAAUUGGGGAAUUGUAUGAAUGGUGUGACGAUGGGGGGACUAUGUUGGGAGUGUUAUUGUGAAGUUUUCUUCCAAGUGAAAAGGCUUGGAUUUGUUUAUUAGACGAGAAGACCCCAUCGAGCUUAGUAGCCGCUAGGCCUUUUUGGCUAGUUGGCAUGUUUUGUCGGGAUAGACAGGAAGGGACAUUAAUACCUUCUUAAUAUUAUGUGGAUCCAGCAGGGCUGAUAAGAAGAAGAUAGUUACCGUGGGGAUAACAGCGCAAUACUUCUGUCGAGAAGUCAUUUGAGGAGGUGAUUGCGACCUCGAUGUUGAAUCAGGGCUCCUACUAGGUAGUAGCAGCUUAGUAAGUAGGACUGUUCGUCCUUUGAAACCCUACG
rnacentral:rRNA from 1 species